GUGACAUUGGAGGCAUCUGAUGAGUGGAACAGCUGGUGCCCAGCCAUGUGCUUUGACCACGUGGGUCCUCCUGUGGCCAGGAGGAGGAUCUGCUUCCUGGAUGAGUGUCUCCCUUUACUCUCAGGACCUGCGACAAGGGACAUUACCCCAGACUCACAGAGUCAGGCGAGUGUGGCUACAUGGAGCAGCUAAUACAGGCCAGCCACAAGGGCCUGGAUCAUGGUGCGCCCCAGCCAGAGGACCUCGAAACCCAUUCUGGCCCCGGCUUUCCACAGCUGGGCCAAUGAGGGUUGGAGUCACAACUGAUCAUGGCCAUUAUGUUCUGCCCAUACUGGACAGCAUCCUCAACAGAAGCUCUAAUCUCUCUGCCUCUUCUCUGUCUUGCUCAUCUUCCAGAUGGGCAGCGUCCUCCAGGGCCUCCUCAGGCCUGGCUUCCAAUGCCUUUGUCCUCCUCCAGCCUCAUCCAACCUUCUAGUUAAGCCACCAAUUGAAGUGUCUGUAUUGUAACCACACACCUCCCCUCAAAGAAUGUAUUUGGUGGCUUUCCAAAUAGACUGAGUCUUUUCCAGGCUAUCAGUUUAUUUUCACUUUAUCUCUCCAAUCAUUUUACUCUUAACUAUAUAAUCUCACUUGAAUUGUUCUGCUACUGUUAUUUCCAGUUCAUGUGUCCCUGUGUCUGUACAUGCUUGUUGCCUGGACGAUCUCUGCACCAGAUCCUACAUCUCCCUACCCACCCACUAAGCUGCCCUGAACCCUUGUUGGUGCAGAGGGCUCAGCCCAACCCCAUGUCAGCUGUGUGGCCACAGGUAAAGUUUGUACCUGCCUUGUGUUGGCUUAGCUAUGGCACCUACCCUUCCCACAGCCCACCGGUGCCAGAAGGAUGGACUAGAACCACUGUAGGAAAGACUCAACCUGGUGCCCUGCUAGAGGUGAACUCUGGUUCUCCCUGUUGCUAUUAUUGCCUCGGUUCCAGUAGCCACUCCUGGCUACUUGCACCCCAACCCUGGCCCACAAGACCUAGGCAGAUUGGAUGCAGACAGAUCUCAAAGAGCAGGCCCCAGAAUCCAGUCUCAGAGGAGCAGGCCCCACUCACCCUCCAGCCAAUAUCAGGCUAGUCAGCAAGGCCAAGGGCUGGCUGAGCCCCAGGCAUGUUGGCAAGCCAGUGAACAACAGAGUAUUGACAAGGACAAUCAUUCUGGCUCACAGGGAUGGAGUGUGAAACCACACGUGGCCUCCUGUGGGAGAUGGGCUUGUGGUCACCACUCACUCUUAAUACAAAAGGCUUGGAAGGAACAGUUGGGGGAACCCUGGCCCUGCUCCAUCAAUGGCCACAUCUCAGCCUCAGGGUCAGCUUUUGUUCUCAAGGCCUUGAUCAGCUGAGACCCACUUGCAUGACAAGGGUCGAGGGUCAUCUUUGCUCAGAGUCUGGUUUGUAAGUAACAGCUACAUCCAAAAGAUGCCUGGACUAGCAUCUGACUGAGCAGCCGGGACUUGCCUCACUGCAUGAGCUAGAAAGUUAACCACCACAAUAGGUAACUACUGUCACUUUUUACAACUUUUAAAAUUCUCUUUUCACAGCUAACGAGUAGAUUCUCUAAGGUAAUCCUGCCCAGGCCCACAGCUGGCUAGGCAAGAGUCCUAGCUUUACUCCUUCCCUGGAGCUACCCC
rnacentral:lncRNA from 1 species